ensembl:lncRNA
CCAAUAUUGGUUGCUGACACUACCCAGGCCUAACCUGCCGAGUUAUGUGGGCUUUUAGCACUUAAAGGCAAAAUACUUAAAGCUUAUUACUGAAUAUAUCUUAUCCCCCUUCCUUCUCAGUUUUUCAUCUUUCUGAGCAGCACAGUGUAGUGGUAAUCUUCAGGAGUCAGGAAAAAAUCUGCAAAGAUAACUUUAUCAACGAAAAAUGUCUUUGGAAUUACAUCCUUAACUGAAACUUUCUUUGAAAACCAGGGUGUCUCCAGAGAGUUAUGCAGAGCAGUCUGGUUAAGCUGUGUCUCCUGCAUGGUUUUAAGGAAGAACGCUGGAGUCAGCAACUCAGAAACUGGGACCCAAGGAUCUGAUGUCGCCUCUCUUGAAAACUGUGUGCUAUCAGACUUGUGCAUUUUCACAGAUAAACCUGCCAGGUGAUGCAUACAAUGACCGCACUGAAAAUAGGCACAGAAUAGCAGAGCUUGAGUUGUCCCAAAUGUUGUCCCACAAAAGUCAAGACAGGCACAGAGGCUUAUCAGCAAAAGCACAUCAGAACUGUAUGAAGAGAGAAGUAUGCAUCAAAUGAAUGCUGUUUUUCAAGGUACAUACUUGAAUUCUUGACAAGACACAUAGUUACUUAUUUCUCCUCCAGUUGUUGGCUUUGAUUAUUAAACUUUGAUUCUGAGAAAAAAGAGAAGAUUUUGUCAGCAUCCCUGACAAGCUGUAACUUUACAGUUGGUGAGUUCAGCUGCCAGCUAGUUGUCAUCUUUUAUUUCUGAAGAUUGCAGUUCUUUAAUGAGGAAAUGUCUGGUUACCAUAGAGAAGUUUUAGGUGAGGAGAGAGAAAAAGGGUUCAUAGUUUAUUUUUUUCUCUCCAUUUCUUUCCUAACUGUCUACAAAUAUGUACUGGAGAAAAAAAGAAAAGAAAAAUAAAAAAAAGAAUGGCCAAAAUGGGUCGUGAGGGCACAAUAGCAAUAGUGUUGUGAAUCUCCUUUAAGGCUGUUAAAAGUUUACAAGAUGUGGGAGUUUUUUUAAAAUCAGAAAGCAUUGAGACUAAAGAAUGGGAGGUCUUCUCGUAAACAAAAGAAGUCCUUCUGCAUUUUAUGACAGAUGAAUUGAAAAGUGACCAGACAGGAACUGCAAGCAAGUAGUGCCAAAAGGUUUCCUAAACAAGAAAUUUACUGAGUAAUACCAAAUGGUAUAAAAAGUGCUACACAAACUCAGUAGAAAGCCUUUGGAUGACUAUAGUAAUAAUAUGUUUGGCUACAGAUGCAGCAUUUCAGCAUUUCUUCAAGUUAACUGUGUUGCACAGUUAACUGGAGCUUUAUGAUCACUGAAAAAAAUCUCCAAUUUAGUAUUGAAUAACUAGUAUGCUUUGCCUAUUCUACUACAAGACUAUAUUUGAAACAAGACAUUGCAGUUUCAAGGUGAUGCAGUUUCAGUGGGAUUUAAGAAUGUAAAGCCAGACAUGGGCAAAAUCAUCACUUGUUUCAGUAAUGCUUUGCCUUUAACUGAAACCCAUAGAUAAAAAUCUGUGUACUUAAGGACCAUAGGCAUUAUCUCUUUCUUUGUUCAUUGUUUAGAAAAUUAAAAUUAGCACUUUGGCUUAAACAGUGCCUCAGGGUCUGUACUCCACUUGUGUUUCCUCAACUGAUACUGUAACCACGUGUUGUUAGGAAGAAUAUUAAGAUGAAAAUUCCCAUUGCACCCAAGAUAAGUCAGGGGUGAAGUCAUGUUUGUCUCCUUUGUUGUGUUUUUGAUAAUAAAAUGUUAGUGUAUUAUUGUAUGUUAUACUUUUUGUUCUUAUAUAUAUUUUUUUUCUUUAAGAUGCUUUUAAAACUUGUGGAUGAAUCAAAUUUUUGUUUGCUUCUUUUGUAUAUAGAUUAUGCUGCUUUUUUACCACCUUGAUGCACUAAUUCAAAAACAGAUGUUGAAAAUGUAUGGAAAACUAAUGCCUGAAGUCCAUGUAUGGUUUUGGGGCCCUGUUUCAGUUUCAUAUGUACUGGCAAGUAUUUGAGCUUUCAUUUUAAAAUGCUGUGUUGUUUUUUUCUUUAUUUCACACUGUAAAAAAUGUAUUCAAACACAAACUAUCUGGACUUCCGAGUGUUUUAGUUUUAUUACCAUUAUCAAAAGACAUUGGAAUCAUUGUCUGGUUUAACUGCUACAGAAAGCAAUUUUCACUAGGUGUAACAAUUGUAAAUAGGAGAUAGAGUUUACUAUGGACAAGGCAAUACCACUGUGAUACAAAAGUAAUUCUAAUCUGAUAAGAGAUUUAACGGGGGAAAAAAGCACUUCAAGAUUUGAUUACCCCAUCACUUUGAACAUAACAGACAAGACAAUCAAAAGAUUUUCUGUUAACAUUGUUCAAAAAGGGUUUAUUUAAGCAUGUGUGUUGAAUCAAAGUCAGAGAGACUUGACUAUUCACGGACAAUUAUUUCCUAAACAAAGAGAAACAACAACUGCACUAACAACUUAUUUUGCUACUAUAUGUUCUAGAUAACUGCUUACUAAUUAGUAAUGAUGAGAAAAGAUAACGCAUGCAGAUAAAUGUCUGUGACUUCUAUUGUAUUGUUUUUAAGUGAAUUAGAGACCCAAAUAAAACUGAAUAAUCCCUAUUUGCAUAGAAUUGUGUAAAUAUUUCCUGUGGAAACCUGAAACCACAUGAAACUCAGGUAGUUUGACUUUGAAAGAAACCAGUUCUGUGUAUACAAACACAAAGGCUGGAUUAGAGAGUACACCACUAAACUUGCAGAUGUCUUAUCUGUUAAGUGCAGGAGUCUCCCAAGCCUGCAUUGUGAUUUAUUUUCAAGGAUUUCAAGAAACUGGUGAUCCUUGUUUGCAAAAGUUCCAGAUAAAUGGAAUGCAACACUUUUUUUUUUUUUUUAUAGUAUGUUGAGGUUCUAGCAAAUCUCAGUAUUAAGAAAAACUGCAAGGUUGAGAAAUCAAAUGAAUCAAAACUGACAUUUGGGUUUCUGAUGGGUAACACUGGGAAAAGACAAACUUAAAAUUUAUAGUUUCAGCACUGAGAUUGUCAUCGAUGGAUACUUAUUUGUUCUUAUGUGGUCUUUAUAUAAAAUAUGUUUAGUAAAAGCUUUCCUCUUGAUACAAGCCUCCCCAAAGAGAUGCAGAUACCUGUAAAUGGGUAUUUGUAAAAGGGAUAGUUCUCUGCUCUCGGACUUUGAACCCAAAGAGUACUGCACUGAUUCCUGUUGCAUGUUUUUUUUAAUAGAAUCAUAGAAUAACCUGUACUGGAACGGACCCAUGAGGAUCAUCGAGUCCAACUCCUGGCUCCACACAGGUGUACCCUAAAAUUCAGACCGCAUGACUGAGAGCAUAGUCCAAAUGCUUCUUAAACUCUGACAGGCUUGGUGCCGUGACUACGUCCCUGGGGAGCCUAUUCCAGUGCUCUUAAAAGCAACGUGGUCAAACAGAUUUGGCUGUUUAUCAGCUCCAAACUGCAAUUUGAUAAAAUCCCCAUCUCCUUUGUUCAUCUGGAUUCAGGGAGUUUGCUUUACACCUUCAUUUUAGGCAGUACCAUGUCAUGGAGCUUUUGCUAUCCUUUUCCUAGCCCUUAGACCAGAGGUAUUUUGAUAACAGGUCUUAUCUGGUGCAUAGGAUGCUUGGAGGUUGUAGCUGAGUGGCUAUUAUGUUAAGCGUUUGACUAUUUUUUAGCUUGAUUAGUUGCCAAAGACACCAAGCGGCAUUUCAGCCCGUCGAUCUGGACAGACGACACUGCAGCCUUUUCUCCCUUUCCCCACAGCCUUCCCCGGGCCUGCAGCCUCGGCUGAAAACAGCCCCGCUGAAACCCCCGGGUGGCUCUGGGGGGACCUCGAGCGGCCGGGGCCGGCUCCGACACCCGGGCCCCGCCUGAGGGGAGGUGCGGGGCGAGGUGAGGCGGGCCCGGCCCCGGCCCCGGCCCCGGCCCCGCCGCCUCCCGUGGCGCCGCCUUGGCCCUCG